rnacentral:rRNA from 1 species
CGGACGGGUGAGUAAUGUCUGGGAAACUGCCUGAUGGAGGGGGAUAACUACUGGAAACGGUAGCUAAUACCGCAUAACGUCGCAAGACCAAAGAGGGGGACCUUAGGGCCUCUUGCCAUCGGAUGUGCCCAGAUGGGAUUAGCUAGUAGGUGGGGUAAAGGCUCACCUAGGCGACGAUCCCUAGCUGGUCUGAGAGGAUGACCAGCCACACUGGAACUGAGACGCGGUCCAG